rnacentral:misc_RNA from 1 species
CGACCCGUCUUGAAACACGGA